UGAUCCUGAGUAGUAGGUGGUGGCUAAAGUGUCUAGGGCUCUGAUACGUACGGGAUGUGAUUUACUUUAUUUAUUUUUCAUUCCUUAUGUAUCACAUUUUUGGAACAUGCUGAUGUAGCCCUUAUUGUUGUUUGAAUUACUUUGAUGAGGCUUUCAUGCCAGGAUUAUAUGGAGAAUUAAAUAGUUGAUGUUUGUUUUUGUUUUUAAUGAAAAUAUUCCGCUGCAAGGUUUUGGU
rnacentral:lncRNA from 1 species